rnacentral:rRNA from 1 species
UACGGAGGAUGCGAGCGUUAUCCGGAUUUAUUGGGUUUAAAGGGUGCGUAGGUGGGCUGAUAAGUCAGCGGUGAAAUACUUGAGCUUAACUCGAGAACUGCCGUUGAAACUGUGAGCCUUGAGAGUGAACGAGGUAGGCGGAAUUCGUAGUGUAGCGGUGAAAUGCAUAGAUAUUACGAAGAACUCCGAUAGCGCAGGCAGCUUACCAGGCCACGACUGACACUGAAGCACGAAAGUGUGGGUAUCAAACAGGAUUAGAUACCCUGGUAGUCCACACAGUAAACGAUGAUUACUCGCUGUUUGCGAUAUACAGUAAGCGGCCAAGCGAAAGCGUUAAGUAAUCCACCUGGGGAGUACGCCGGCAACGGUGAAACUCAAAGGAAUUGACGGGGGCCCGCACAAGCGGAGGAACAUGUGGUUUAAUUCGAUGAUACGCGAGGAACCUUACCCGGGCUCGAACGGUAUCUGAAUUUCAGUGAAAGCAGAAAGACCGCAAGGACAGAUAUCGAGGUGCUGCAUGGUUGUCGUCAGCUCGUGCCGUGAGGUGUCGGCUUAAGUGCCAUAACGAGCGCAACCCUUAUCGUUAGUUACCAUCAGGUUAUGCUGGGGACUCUAGCGAGACUGCCACCGUAAGGUGAGAGGAAGGUGGGGAUGACGUCAAAUCAGCACGGCCCUUACGUCCGGGGCGACACACGUGUUACAAUGGGGGGACAAAGGGCAGCUACCUGGCGACAGGAUGCCAAUCUCCAAACCCUCUCCCAGUUCGGAUCGGAGUCUGCAACUCGACUCCGUGAAGCUGGAUUCGCUAGUAAUCGCGCAUCAGCCAUGGCGCGGUGAAUACCUUCCCGGGCCUU